ensembl:lincRNA
CUCUGUGUGAGCCUUGCCCUCUGUGUGAGCCUUGCCUCCUGUGUGAGUCUUGCCCUCUGUGUGAGCCUUGCCCUCUGUGUGAGUCUUGCCCUCUGUGUGAGCCUUGCUCCCUGUGUGUCUUGCCCUCUGUGUGAGCCUUGCCUCCUGUGUGAGUCUUGCCCUCUGUGUGAGUCUUGCCCUCUGUGUGAGCCUUGUCUCCUGUGUGAGUCUUGCUCUCUGUGUGAGUCUUGCCCUCUGUGUGAGUCUUGCCCUCUGUGUGAGCCUUGCCUCCUGUGUGAGUCUUGCCCUCUGUGUGAGCCUUGCCCUCUGUGUGAGUCUUGCCCUCUGUGUGAGCCUUGCCUCCUGUGUGAGUCUUGCUCUGUGUGAGCCUUGCCCUCUGUGUGAGUCUUGCUCUCUGUGUGAGCCUUGCCCUCUGUGUGAGUCUUGCUCUCUGUGUGAGCCUUGUCCUCUGUGUGAGCUCUCCGAGGGUCCUGGGGGCCUCCAUCCGGCCUCGCCUGAGGGGAGGUAAAGGCAGUGGCCCCUGCUCGGGAGACAGCUCUGCUUCCCUCUGCUUUGUCCCGACGGACACACGAGCAGCCUGCAGCAUCAGCGCCUUUGGGGGUCUGCUUCACUGAAUGACCGUCUCCUACACGGUUGGACCCCUCACUUCUGAGGCAGCGACCUGCUCUCAGCAGAGCCAGGAGCCUGGGCAGCCACAUGGGGCUGAGCAGUCAGGGCAAAGUGCACCUGGAGCUGCGGCUGAGCGAGGUCAUCACAGACACUGGGGUCGUCUGCCACAAGCUCGCCACACGGUAAGACACGUCCUCACCAGAGACCGAGCACGCAGCGAGUGGCAUGUCUGGCUCCCGAGGAGCACACAGGGGUUUUCACACCAACGCACAAGAAUUUCCAGAGCCGGUGGCUGCCCAGGAUGACACUGUUUAGAGGUUCUGGCCCCCCCAGGAUGAUGCCGUCUUAGAGGUCCUGGCCCCAGGAUGACACUGUUUCAGAGGUCCUGGCCCCCAGGAUGACUCCGUUUUAGAGGUCCUGGCCCGAGGAUGACACUGUUUUAGAGGUCCUGGCCACCAGGAUGACUCCAUUUUAGAGGUCCUGGCCCGAGGAUGACACUGUUUUAGAGGUCCUGGCCCCAGGAUGAUGCCGUUUUAGAGGUCCUGGCCCCCAGGAUGACUCUGUU